UCUGGGUCACCUCCCACCCGUGUCUAUCGUACCUUGUUGCUUCGGCGGGCCCGCCGUUUCGACGGCCGCCGGGGAGGCCUUGCGCCCCCGGGCCCGCGCCCGCCGAAGACCCCAACAUGAACGCUGUUCUGAAAGUAUGCAGUCUGAGUUGAUUAUCGUAAUCAGUUAAAACUUUCAACAACGGAUCUCUUGGUUCCGGCAUCGAUGAAGAACGCAGCGAAAUGCGAUAAGUAAUGUGAAUUGCAGAAUUCAGUGAAUCAUCGAGUCUUUGAACGCACAUUGCGCCCCCUGGUAUUCCGGGGGGCAUGCCUGUCCGAGCGUCAUUGCUGCCCUCAAGCACGGCUUGUGUGUUGGGCCCCCGUCCCCCUCUCCCGGGGGACGGGCCCGAAAGGCAGCGGCGGCACCGCGUCCGGUCCUCGAGCGUAUGGGGCUUUGUCACCUGCUCUGUAGGCCCGGCCGGCGCCAGCMRACACCCAACUUUAUUUUUCUAAGGUUGACCUCGGAUCAGGUAGGGAUACCCG
rnacentral:rRNA from 1 species